GAGGCGGAGGGACUGGAUGGGAAGAUACUCCAGAGGCAGCCUUGACAGGCUGUUCAGACUGAUGCACAGAGUUGCCGGGGGGAGAAGGCGGGAGGGGCCAGGAGUGUUUCCUGGUGUCUGGCUUCCGCAAGUGGGUGGUGGGUGUCAGUCACGGUGAUGGGGGGACGCAGGUCUGGGUGGAAGAUGGUGAGGUGGCUCUGCCAUGUUGAGUUGGAGGAACCUGCAAGACCCAGGAGUGGAGAUGCGGACUCAGCAAUGGGUCAGAGAUGCUCGAGCAACACGGGGUUGGCGGUGGAGAGCUGGAGUCAGCAGCAUGGGACUUUCAGCCAGGCUUCCCCUUCCAGCAAGAUGACCCUGAGAAUGUGCGAGGAGUGAGAAGCGGCAGCCGGGGCUGACCCCGAGGAAAGGCAUCCAACCAGUGGGCUCGGAGCGGGGUGCACGGGGGACCACAGCCCAGCGCGGAAGACCACAGAGGAAGGACUGAAGACUUUCACAUCACCUGGCGGCUUCUAUGUCUUGAAGUCACCUGGCACCAGCACCUCCUGGGCUGUGUCACCACCUCCCCCUUUUCACCCAGGAUGAGCUCAAUCAGCGCCAAGCUGACCUGAACCUCCAGGCUACAGGAGGUUUCCCUCGAUGGUCUUCUUCACCCAGCAUGGACCGGCCCUCCAUCCAAGGACAGUUCUCCAGUGCCUUAUCAUCUCUUCUAAAUAGGUGUUUUCUUCCCAGCCCUUCCCCCCACCAAACUCCUUAUCACUUCUUUUUUUUUUUUAAAUCUGCAAUUUUUUCCCCCUGGGAAAGAUUCACCCUGAGCUAACAUCUAUUGCCAAUCUUCCUCUGUUUUUUAGUAUGUGAGCCACCAGCACAGCAUCGCUGCUAACAGAGUCGUGUGGGUCCAUACCUGGGAACUGAACCCAGGCUGCUGAAGCAGAUCAUGCUGAACUUAACCACUAGGCCACUGGGGCUGGUCCCUUCCUCUCUUUUUUUUUUCCCACCCCAAAGCCCAGUACAUAGUUGUAUGUUGUAGUUGUAGCUCCUCCUAGUUCUUCUGUGUGAGCCGCUGCCACAGCAUGACACUGACAGAUGAAUGGUGUGGUUCUGUGCCCGGGAACCAAACCUGGGCCACCAAAGCAGAGUGUGCCAAACUUUAACCACUAAGCCAUCAGGGCUGGCUCCCACCAAACUCUUGAUAAUUUACAUCACAACCCAAAUGGUUUUUGCUACAGUUAGCAGAUCAUUGAUGUCAUCUUCCCAGGGAUGCAACAAUCUUGCUUCUCAUCAGCUCCCACCUCCCACCUAGCCCCAGCCCCUCUUUCCCAGAGUCCUUGUUCCCUUUCGGUGAACCCAAUUUAGCUGAGACACAUCAGGGGGUGCCAAUGGUCUGUGAAUUAUGGUGAGUUUCCUAAAGGUUAUGGGAG
rnacentral:lncRNA from 1 species